AAAAGCCAGUAAAUAAUCUUAAACAGGUAAUUAAAACAAAUAAACUGAUAGACAUUUGGAGGCUAUUAAAUAAAACCAAAAAACAAUACACUUGGAAAAGAAAAAAAUUCUACAAAUGAGGCAAGUAGAAUUGACUUUUUUAUAAUAAGUUCACAAGUACGCAUGCUGACAGUAUCAGCUGACAUCAGACCAGCUCAAAUUUCAAGUACAGACCA
rnacentral:lncRNA from 1 species